UUCAAGGGCUUGGCUCCGUUGCUGUAAGGGCCCUCCUUCUCCUUGCUGUUGCCUUUUCGUGGUGGAUAUUCACGGGUUGAGCUUGUUCUUACAGCAACCCAUUCCCGGGAGAACUGUAAGCUGGGCACAGUGGGCACACACCUCAGACCCAACAUGCAGAAUAUGGAGACAGCAGGAUUUUCAAUUCCAGGCACUGACAAGGAAUCUCCUAGGAGACACACCUCUUGCUGUCCUUGAGCAGGGUUUUCAGAGAAGUUUAAUGAACAUGGGCAGCACUAUCCAGGAGACUGGAGUCCCAGACCAAAUAAAAACUAAAGAUGAUGGAAGCCAGCAGAACACCAGCAGUAAUCUUUCCUUGCUUCCUAACUGGGGCUGCAUUGUGACCAGAUGCUUCAUGCUCCCAUCACCUGGUACUUCCUCAUCGUGAUGGACUGCACCUCAGACUUCGAGCCAAAGCCAGCCUUCCUUCCUCAAGUUGCUGUCGGCAGCACAUUCUCUCUACCACACGGCCACCGUCUGCUGCGCGAACGGAGUAUGGAGAGCCAGGAUCUUGGUCUGCAUUACAGAUGAGUUGGUCAUUUCCCCUUCAGAUCUAAG